AUCCUAUCAGUUCGAAUUUUGAUACCAAAGGCCUCAUGUUUGAAUUACGAUGAGCUCAAAGCCUCGAAUCCAUAACUUCAAGCCCGAACCCUGAAAUCCUGGCCGUCCAUUUGUUAAUCGGGCGGUUGGCAAACACCCUGCUUGCUGUUCUAUCCGCGCCUUGCCCGCCGUCGCGUGUGGCUCUCGCCUCGACGACCAUGGCGAUGUUCGCGCGGCGCCUCCUCGUCUUCCACCUCCGCCCGCCCGCGCAUCCCCUCGCAGCCGCCAUUGCCGCUCCCCACCGCCGCCGCAAGCACGACGCCGUCGCGUGCAGAGCCGCUGCGGGGAAGGGGACGAGCAAGGCCAGGGCGAGGGACAAGGACGGCAGUAAGCGGCAGCAGAGGCGGGCGCUGGAGGAGCACCUCAAGCGGCGCACGCGCUCCGGCGCCGCCUUCGACGCCGGCCUCUACCGGCGGCACUCCCACGCGGAGCACGUCCCCGUCAUGCUCGGCGAGGUCCUCGCCGCGUUCCGCCGCCCUCUCCCGCUCCGCUCCUUCGUCGACUGCACCCUCGGCGCGGCCGGCCACUCGCUCGCCAUGAUGGAGGCACACCCGGAGAUGGAACUGUACAUUGGGAUGGAUGUCGAUCCCUCUGCGCUGGAGAUUGGCCGGAGCCGUAUCGAGGCCUUCCUUGCCAAUAGGGAAACUAAUGGAGAUGACGAAGAUGCCUCGCAGGGAACACUGCGUGCAUACACUCACGCCAAGAAUUUCAAGUACAUCAAGCAUGUUCUUGGCAGCGUGGAUGAGAACAUUGCUGUUGGAACGUCUGGAGUUGAUGGAAUCCUCAUUGACCUUGGCAUGUCAUCCAUGCAGGUGAACAGAUCAGACAGGGGAUUUAGCGUUCUUCAGGAUGGGCCACUUGACAUGCGCAUGGAUCCUAAGGCAACUUUGAAAGCAGAAGAUAUCUUGAAUUCUUGGCCUGAUCUUGAAGUUGGGCGUAUCCUGCGUGAUUAUGGUGAGGAAAGUAAUUGGCAGUCCCUUCAGAAGCGGAUUGUUAAAGCCCGGGCUAUGGGGGGUUUGCACUCGACAGGGGAGCUUGUCAAACUUAUCCAAAGAACGUGUACCAGUUCAGGGGGAAGGCAAGGUUGGAUUAAGACUGCAACAAGGGUGUUUCAGGCCCUAAGAAUCGCAGUUAAUGAUGAACUCCGAACUCUAGAAGAUGCACUUCAUGCAUGCUUUGAUUGCCUAGCAACAGAUGGUCGCCUUGCAGUAAUCUCAUUCCACAGUUUGGAGGAUAGAAUAGUGAAGCAGACCUUUCUGGAACUUAUUCAUGAAGAUGAAAUAGAUGAUGAUGAAGACGACUUGGUGAGUGCUGACAUUGAUAGUGAAGAUGAACCCUGGUUUAAGCAGAGAGUGCAAGGAAAGAAUGGAACCAUUCUAACGAAAAGACCAAUAUCUCCUUCACAAGAGGAGGAAGAACUGAAUCAGAGGUGCAGAAGUGCCAAGCUCAGAGUUAUUCAGAAGGCGUGAACCUGGAUUAAUCAUAUGAUGACUAAAUUCUGAGCUCUGAGGAGCAGUGAGGACAUCCAUGCGUGAACUCAUAUAACAUGUGAAUGAUCGCGCUUGCAGUUGCAACAAUAAUAACUGGAAAAACUAGCUCGAGAGGAUGAAAUGGCCAUCCUGUUUCUGCAGUUAACUUAGAGAGUAGAGCUUAGGAAGCCUCUGAUUAAAUUGCAUAUUUUACCAGCUAAUUAAACAUAUGAUGGUUGUUUGACUUGGGAUUUCUUGCUCAUAUCAAUUGUACUUGUUUACACUCAAGCAGGGUAGGGAACCACCACAAAAUAAGUCAAGUUCAGAUAAAACCAAAACAUGCAUAUUCAGAAUCCAA